rnacentral:rRNA from 1 species
GGGAUUGCCCUAGUAACGGCGAGUGAAGCGGCAACAGCUCAAAUUUGAAAUCUGGCCCCCCGGGUCCGAGUUGUAAUUUGUAGAGGAUGCUUUUGGCGCGGUGCCUUCCGAGUUCCCUGGAACGGGACGCCUUAGAGGGUGAGAGCCCCGUACGGUUGGACACCAAGCCUCUGUAAAGCUCCUUCGACGAGUCGAGUAGUUUGGGAAUGCUGCUCUAAAUGGGAGGUAAAUUUCUUCUAAAGCUAAAUAUAGGCCAGAGACCGAUAGCGCACAAGUAGAGUGAUCGAAAGAUGAAAAGCACUUUGAAAAGAGGGUUAAAUAGCACGUGAAAUUGUUGAAAGGGAAGCGUUUACGACCAGACCUUCUCCCGGCGGAUCAUCCGGUGUUCUCACCGGUGCACUUCGCCGGGUCUAGGCCAGCAUCGGUUUCUGUGGGGGGAUAAAAGCCCUGGGAACGUAGCUCCCUCGGGAGUGUUAUAGCCCUCUGCAUAAUACCCCCACGGGGACCGAGGACCGCGCUUCGGCAAGGAUGCUGGCAUAAUGGUCGUCAACGACCCGUCUUGAAACACGGACCAAGGAGUCGAACAUUUAUGCGAGUGUUUGGGUGUCAAACCCUCACGCGUAAUGAAAGUGAACGGAGGUGAGAGCCCUUACGGGUGCAUCAUCGACCGAUCCUGAUGUCUUCGGAUGGAUUUGAGUAAGAGCAUAACUGUUCGGACCCGAAAGAUGGUGAACUAUGCGUGGAUAGGGUGAAGCCAGAGGAAACUCUGGUGGAGGCUCGCAGCGGUUCUGACGUGCAAAUCGAUCGUCAAAUCUGCGCAUGGGGGCGAAAGACUUAUCGAACCAUCUAGUAGCUGGUUACCGCCGAAGUUUCCCUCAGGAUAGCAGUGUUGUUCUUCAGUUUUAUGAGGUAAAGCGAAUGAUUAGGGACUCGGGGGCGCUUUUUAGCCUUCAUCCAUUCUCAAACUUUAAAUAUGUAAGAAGCCCUUGUUACUUAAUUGAACGUGGGCAUUCGAAUGUACCAACACUAGUGGGCCAUUUUUGGUAAGCAGAACUGGCGAUGCGGGAUGAACCGAACGCGGGGUUAAGGUGCCGGAGUGGACGCUCAUCAGACACCACAAAAGGUGUUAGCACAUUUAGACAAUAGGACGGUGGCCAUGGAAGUCGGAAUCCGCUAAGGACUGUGUAACAACUCACCUAUCGAAUGUGCUAGCCCUGAAAAUGGAUGGCGCUCAAGCGUCCCACCCAUACCUCGCCCUCAGGGUAGACACGAUGCCCUGAGGAGUAGGCGGCCGUGGAGGUCAGUGACGAAGCCUAGGGCGGAGCCCGGUGAGACC